rnacentral:rRNA from 2 species
CGUAACAAGGUUUCCGUAGGUGAACCUGCGGAAGGAUCAUUAAUUG